rnacentral:rRNA from 1 species
UACGAAGGGGACUAGCGUUGUUCGGAUUUACUGGGCGUAAAGUGCGCGUAGGCGGAUCGCUAAGUCAGGGGUGAAAUCCCAGGGCUCAACCCUGGAACUGCCUUUGAUACUGACGAUCUGGAGAUCGGGAGAGGUUGGUGGAAUUCCGAGUGUAGAGGUGAAAUUCGUAGAUAUUCGCAAGAACACCAGUGGCGAAGGCGGCUCACUGGCCCGAUACUGACGCUGAGGUGCGAAAGCGUGGGGAGCAAACAGG